rnacentral:rRNA from 1 species
UACGAAGGGGGGCUAGCGUUGCUCGGAAUCACUGGGCGUAAAGGGUGCGUAGGCGGGUCUUUAAGUCAGGGGUGAAAUCCUGGAGCUCAACUCCAGAACUGCCUUUGAUACUGAAGAUCUUGAGUUCGGGAGAGGUGAGUGGAACUGCGAGUGUAGAGGUGAAAUUCGUAGAUAUUCGCAAGAACACCAGUGGCGAAGGUGGCUCACUGGCCCGAUACUGACGCUGAGGCACGAAAGCGUGGGAGCAAACAGGG